rnacentral:lncRNA from 12 species
CCUCACCACUUCCGACUGGUUUAUUUUUUUAUUUUAUUUUUUAUUUAUUUUUUAUAAAUUUAUUUUUUAUUGGUGUUCACUUCUGACUGGUUUAGAAGAUACAAUUCACACUUGAAGGGCUGUUUUUGGACAUUCUUCGGAUCCCUGGUACAUGGAUAGGCUAAGAAUAAAACUAUAGAACUGAAAGGUGCUCUUCUCUUCCGCUCUUCAAGGAAAAGCCCUGGGUUGGGGUCUUCUGUUUGGUUUGGUUUGGUUUUAGAUUUUGUUUAUUUGCGAGAGAGAGUAUGUGUAAGCAGGAAGGGGAGGGAGAGAGAAUCAAGCAGACUCCACACUGAGCACAGAGCCCGGCGCAGGGCUCCAUCCCACGACCCUAAGAUCAUGACCUGAUCUGAAAUCAAGAGUUGGACACUUAACCGACCGAGCCAGCUCAGUGCCCCUCUGGGUCUGUUUGUAGGCCUUCCCCCCUAGCUCUCAUACAAUUAAGGGAAUCAUAGUGUCAUCAGUUUCCGAAGGCCAUACCCAACUUCCUCUAUGUAUCCUGUGUCUCAUGGGGGCCAGACAGUCUCAGGGACCUCACCACAAGGAGGAUGGAACUUUCUAAAUGGACAGUUACGAAGCCUUGGUGCUGGCUGGGCAGGGCAGCUCAGAGAAAUGCAAAGCAUCCCAGGCAUCAGCCCAGAAUUUGCUCCCAUCCUCUCCUCUGCCCACAGAACAGCACCCCCAGGCCUCAGCCUUCUCUACGUGGAGCCGAGGGCACCCUGAGACCUCUCCUGGAGAUUUACCCCGUUGGCCCAAGUGGAAAGAGGGGAAGAGGCCCAGGUCAGAGGGAAGGCCUCCCAAGUCAUCAUGCAGAAGGAAAACGCAGAAUUUGAACAGCUGCCUCUGCUGGAAAGGUCCACAGAAAAGGCGUUUCCAGACCUAGUACUUUCUUCACAAGAUCUUAAAGCAAAUAGCUACUUCUGAAGAAUGGCUGAGACUCCAGGAAGCACCGCUGAUGUGUUGUGCAGACGUGGAAAAUGAAGCCCUUGGCACACAACAAACCUAAGGAACGUACUGGGGUCUGGUUCUUGAGCUCACAAGGUUGGGGUUGGCUGGACCCCAAAAUCCAAGGUACUAGCAAGGGUGUCCUGAGGUUACAACUCAGGCUGCGGGUAGACCCGAUACCAACAAACACCACUUGGGUCAGCCUCCCGGACAGCGGGGAGGCCCUGCCUACAUAGGGACGGGGCCCACUCAGGUGCGCUCAGGUUCCCCCACCCAAUGUGCUGAUAAGGGAAAGGGGGGGAAAUGCCUCAUCUCGAUUGGCACAAAGGACCACGUCCUGAUUGGCUGGAAGGGCCUCGUCUCAAUGGGUCUAUAUCUUCAACUCUCACAGCUCACUGGAGGCUUUUGGAGCCACGGUCCCCUGGUUUAAGUCCAUCCACUUGUCUACGGGGACGGAUCCUGGCCGGAUCCCGGUUCUGCUAAGACUGGUGGUUUGAAGAUAACAGCCAAAGGUCCUCGGGUGGCUCAGUUGGCUAAGUGGCCAGCUCUCGAUCUCAGGGCCCUGAGGUCAGGCCCUGUGUUGGGCUCCACUCUGGGCACGGAGCCUACUUAUUAAAAAGAAAAAAACAGGUAACAGCCAACAGAAAGUGCCCUACGUACACGAUGUUUUUCAUUGGGGUUUUGGUCCCAUGGUCCCUAACUGUCUCAAACCAGCUUCCGUGGAGGUCUCCAACCCCCAGCACAGGUAUUCCGAGCUCAGUGUGGCGUCAGAGAGAAGCAGAAAGUGUCCUUCAUCCCCCAGCCUGAGGAAGGAGGCCCUUAAAGGAGGUAAACCGAGGACGGGGAUGCACUGACCCAGUUGUCAUAAACCUGGCUGGGAGGCACCGAGUCAACAUCUUUUUUUUGAAAACAAGAAUGUGUGGCGGGAUGUUUCUGAAGCACCGAGCCCCUUGCUGAAAUAAAGCAGACGCAGGCCUGGCA